rnacentral:lncRNA from 1 species
GGGUCAAGCUUUUGUAGGUCAAGCUUUUGUGGGUCAAGCUUUUGUGGGUCAAGCUUUUGUGGGUGAAACUUUUGAAGCUUUUGUGGGUCAAGCUUUUGUGGGUCAAGCUUUUGUAGGUCAAGCUUUUGUAGGUCAAGCUUUUGUAGUUGUCCUCCAUUGAUGAAGCUCUGUUGAAUUUCCUUUUUUUUUCUUUUUUUUUUUUGGGAAACUAGAAAUUUGAAAAUGUGGGAGAGACAACAUAUACAAAUUUUGCUUCCACACUGUUGAGCAAGAGAUUGUGAU